AGACGGAGGGUCCUAGCGUUGUUCGGAAUAACUGGGCGUAAAGGGUACGUAGGCGGUUUGGUCAGUUAGAUGUGAAAGCCCAGGGCUCAACCUUGGAACUGCAUUUAAUACUGCCAGACUUGAGAUCGGAAGAGGAAAGCGGAAUUCCUAGUGUAGAGGUGAAAUUCGUAGAUAUUAGGAGGAACAUCAGAGGCGAAGGCGGCUUUCUGGUCCGAUACUGACGCUGAGGUACGAAAGCGUGGGGAGCAAACAGGAUUAGAUACCCUGGUAGUCC
rnacentral:rRNA from 1 species